UGUAUUUUUUGUUCAUUCAUUUUAUCUUCCAUUUUGUAGAAUGCAUUACUAAUAGGUUUUAUAAUAUUAAUCAAUUGUUGAUCACAUAAUGACUACUGUCUUUUGUCGACGAUCUGUUUCUAUUGCCUGAAACUUUAAGUUAUAGUCCGCGACAAUACAUUGACAUAUCCGGCCCCGAAGUGAUUAAUUGAAAGGGUAGACACUAUUUAUAAAGUUGACCUUAUAUGUAUUUUUUCUUUCAUUAUUUUGGGAAUAGAGUAAAUAUAUGGUAUUUCUCAUUUUUUAGUCUUUGUUAACAUAUCCAUGUAACCCCCACAAAAAAAAAAUAA
rnacentral:lncRNA from 1 species